GCGGAGGUACCGGACUUGGUCGGCAGUCUCCACGCCCUCAGCCACGAUUCGCAAAUUUAGAGCCUUGGCCAUACUAAUCUAGGGUGCGGGUUCGAGUCCCGCUGCCGGCACCA
rnacentral:tRNA from 1 species